GAGCAGUUGUGGCUUUCUGGCUCUUCUCUUUAAAAUUCAGGAAUUCACCACUGCGCCGCGACGCAACCUCCGCCAGACUAGAUCGCCCCGUGAAACCAGCCUGAGCCCAGAUCAAUAACUUUUGUCUUGUCUCCCUAAUUGCUCAUUGGUCGGUAUUGGUGCCAGAUUAUAUGUAAGUGCAUGUUCUCCUAGGUGAUCGACCCCGGCUCCUCUUUCGCAGCCUUGCACCAAGUGUUGGGCUCACCGUCUGUCUCUCCCCUCUCUUUCUGCUGUCCUUGCCUCCGUUCGCCCAAUGUUCAGAAAGAAGAAAGCCCGACCUGAUCUGCUGCUGCUCCUCUAUCUUUGUGGGACCAGACAAGAUGUGCCACCCCUUCACCAGGCCCCUGACUCCUGCGCCGCUCAGCUGGACAUCUACAAGCCAGAAUCUUUCGGUUGGAGCCCCAACUGCUUGUGAGCUGAGUGGAUCUCCCGGGGAACAGAAUCACAUGCAGCUGUAUCACAAAGCAACUCCAGGCCAGCGGUUUCUAGGACUCCUGCGCCAGGGCAGAAUUCUGCAACAAAGAUAACCAACACGGUCAUCAUCAUUCUCCUGAGUCCAUACUGCGCUGACCUACCAAUGCCUCAAGAUGUGGAUGCAGCUCUGAGGGAAAGUGAAGAUCACUGCAGAAGAGAGGAGACACAGGCACCAGGAGUUGUAGAGGAACGGAGGUCGACGAGACAGACAUCAAAGCACAAGGAUUGUGUAGCUGCACUCGCCCUCAAAGACUCAACUCUGACGGGACUCCAUCCGAUGGUGAAUCCAGAAUAAGAGGUCUCAUGGUGCACUGGUGGAAUGUGAGCGUCAACACCGAGCAUGGAGGAAGACAGCAGUUCUUGCCGCGGCCAAAUCAAUACACCACAGUCUUUCCAACGUAGAAGUCAAUACGCAACACUGAAAGUGUCUGAGGAGACGAAAGGAGACCGAUAAUUGUUAUGAAUGUCUUCCAUAUGUUUGAGCAGCCUUGCAUUUAAAAGCAGCUGCCACCUAAAGGACGACCAGCUGUCGCAUAAUAAGUAUAUACAACCCAGGAGUGACUGAGACGUUCUGUAACGGAGAGAACUGAGAUGGAUGGAGGCGACUGGUGUGCACAACAUUGAUGCGCACGCAACGCCCCGGGUGUGUGGUGUGUUGGUGUCGUUGAAGAGAAAGAUAUCGCUGAGCUCAGCAGUUAACAAGAGGUGAUGAUGAUGAUGAUGAUGGAGGCUCAGAGACGCAAGAAGUUGGUGCUGGUUCUGAGGGAUUGGUGUCGGAAGCCACAGUGUCAACGAACGACCGGAAGCUUCUGGGACUUUUCAGCCGCUGUUCAUACUUCUGGGUGACGAAUGAUGAACUGUAAACCAACCACUUCAUUUUUGUGAGGAUGAAACGUAUUUCUUAGUGUAUUGAGUGAAAAUAAAACACUUUGUAUUUGUUAUAAUUUUGUGACUGUUGAGAGUGGAGUGCGGCGUGAGAUGACAUCAUCAGAGAGCGUCACACACACCCGGCUGACGGUCAACAACUGAUAAACUGUUGAGUUUCUUUGCUGUUCUCCAUCCAUAAUAGAAUAUUCAUGUUUCUUAGUUCUAAUCCAGACACAUUCUUCAUCCUGUCCCCCCAAACAUAUUGUACAUUAUUGUCCGCCGCCAUCUUUUGGACGUGGUAUUUGGUCCAGUCAUCAUUUAUCCUCAAAACCUUCCUUAGAAAAACGUUCUUUUUAUUCACACGCAGACAAGUCCACCACCUCUCAACGUAUAAGCUUUAUCAAUUUUUUUUCAUUUUAUUAUUACCUUUUUUAGCGUUUCAAUUCAUGUUUCUAGUCGCCAUAUACACACUGUGAUUUAUUAAGCAAUAUUUUUUUUCUGUUGAAGUUAGGCUCUGAUAUAUGGGGCUACUCCCCGUCCUUGUGAUGUUCUGGAGACCUUUCCAGGGUGUCCCUUGUCUUGGAUUUAGCUGAGACAAUCUCAGAUUUACGACAUGCUAACAUGCUAACUAGGUUUGCAACCAGGCCCAGGAUUAAACAGAAUCAUCCCAUAUUUGACUUUGUGUCUCUCUCAUGAAGUGAAGAACACUUUUGCUUGGCGAAAAGGGAGAACCAGAAGUGUUGACGGAAGCCAGUGGUGUGGGUUUAUGCAGCAUGGCAACCCUGAAGGUUGGGCGGCUGUUGAAGACAAAAACACAAGCGGUUCUCAUAGAUUGACCUUUUUGUUUGUUUGUGGUCAGUCUCACGUAAAGAAUUAUAGUGGCAGUUUUUAUACUUGUGUUUUGCCCGUCAAUUCCACUUUUCUCUAUUAUUAUAUUAUUAUUAUUAUAUUAUUAUCUAUUAUAAUUGUUUCCUUUACACAAAUGUUUUACUGUCUUCUGUUGUUUAUUUCAUUUUCGUUCCUUUUUUAAUGAAAAUAUGUGAAGAAGUAAAAAACAAAUGACAAAAAAAUUCUCCCUAAAGUUAAAAAAAUAUAUAUAUGUAAUAUUUAUAAUGCAUUACACGUCAAACAAAACCUAAUUUCGUUCACAAUGUAAUGUAUCUCUUAAUGACCAUGUAUGAAAAACAAUUUAAUAUGAGACUGAGGAAGGUUUGUUACUCCUUCACAAGAGCAUUUGUACAACCAAUACACCUGUAUUUUUUCAUUGUGGAAUAGUUGUUUAGUUGACGUGAUGACAUCAUUUAUUUAUACUGUAAAUAACUUUUAGGUCUAAAAUGCACUGUCGAAUACAUCUGUUUUUCUCAUGAAUUAUGACCGUUACUAGUACUAUUUUUUUUUUUUUUUUUAACCACUCCUUGAACAUGGUAGAUGGUCGUUGGGGAUUCAGCUAAAAUAACUGUUUACAAUUUAACCUUUUUACUUACCAAUAAUGGGAAAAAACUUUAUGUUCUGCAGUUUAAAUAAUAUUUAUUAUUUUUUGGUCACACACAUUAACAGUAUUAUUCUUUAUUGUAAGUUGAGCUACAUUACUUUUUUGUUUUCUUUAAUGUCAACAAGGAUGCAAUGUUACACAGAGGUGUAUUUAUAGUUAUUUAAUAAUAACAACAAUAACAACAAUUUCUUGAGGGGGUUAUUAACUGUGAAUAAACAAGUAAUUCAUUUAUUAAUAGUUAAUAUCUGUUCCCCAAUGAAUCUUUUUCAAUUAUUACAAAAAAGUGAAGAGUGUUGAGAUGAUUGUGUUUUGCCCUUGUAACCUUGAGCCGCUUGGCUGAGUGGCGGACAACAGCAGGCUGCGAGUGUUCACCGUCCACCCGAGUGCAGAGUGAGGGGGACUGGAGGGGGAACUCUGCUGAAGUUUCAACAGGCGGGCUUGGAUGUAAUUGGGUCCCAGAAGGCUCUUCAUUAUGGAGGCUGGGGAGUCAACAAAACACAGAGAGAGAGAGAAACAAAAUGUGGCUCUUCGCUGCGCGUCACGAUGGGACAGGAGUUAAUGAAAAGAGCAGUUGACGCCAGCGUUUUCCUCAUCAAUCUCACUUUAUCGCGCCUUUAUUAAGUUUGUAACGGCAGCGAUCGUCCCCUCAAAUCUCACCGCGGUCAACAGCUAGCAUCCGCCAUAGUCCCCGCGUCCCGUCUCAGUGGGUGUGGCCGCUGGAGCCAGAUAGGGGGCGUGGCCUCCCAGCCUAAUCCCCGCGCUCCUAUCUCCGCCGCCCCGGAGGCCAUUUUAAUUCCCUCCAUCAUUACAGGGACCCGCGCUGCAGAGCUUUGGUAAAGGUGACUGCUGACGCUGUCAUUCACGAGGACUAUUUCCAAAUGUCAGUCUGGAGCCCAGCUUUGUCUCAUUAAAGUUGACGGAGUCCAUUAUAUCGCGCGCCUCCUCUUC